rnacentral:tRNA from 2 species
GGGGAGGUGCCGGAGUGGUCGAUCGGGGCCGCCUGCUAAGCGGUUGUGGGGGUAAAACUCCACCCAGGGUUCGAAUCCCUGCCUCCCCG